rnacentral:rRNA from 1 species
AUGAACGCUAGCGACAGGCCUAACACAUGCAAGUCGAGGGGCAGCGGGGAUGAAGCUUGCUUCAUCUGCCGGCGACCGGCGCACGGGUGAGUAACACGUAUGCAACCUGCCCGUUGCAGGGGGGAUUAAAGGCCGGAAAGAAAUUCCGUCUAAUACCGCGUAAUAUGGGAGAUAGGCAUCUAUCUUUCAUUAAAGACUUAUCGGCAACGGAUGGGCAUGCGGUGCAUUAGCUAGUUGGCGGGUAACGGCCCACCAAGGCGACGAUGCAUAGGGGUUCUGAGAGGAAGGUCCCCCCACACUGGUACUGAGACACGGACCAGACUCCUACGGGAGGCAGCAGUGAGGAAUAUUGGUCAAUGGGCGGCAGCCUGAACCAGCCAUACCGCGUGUAGGAUGAAGGUCUUAUGGAUUGUAAACUACUUUUGUACUAGGGUAAAGGCCUUAUCGAGAAUAGGGAGCUGAAAGUAUAGUACGAAUAAGCAUCGGCUAACUCCGUG